UCACUUCAGUUAUUAAGGGAUCUAUUUACACUUUGCUUUGUCUUUUCUCUCUUUUCAGCUGCUCUCAAUCAACCCACUUCUAUGCAAGAGGAAAAUGUCGCGAUAUAUCGCCGAAAUAUCGUGUGUCGGAGGGUAUCGACAUGAUAUUUCUUGGAGAAAUGGACCGAUAUUUCGCCAUUUAUCGCGAUAAAUCGGCGAUUUUUAUCCGAUAUAUCGCGUGGUCAAC
rnacentral:lncRNA from 1 species